GGUUCGUUCAGUUGACUUCCAAUUCAGAAUUCAGAUGAAUGGGAUAAAGAGAUGAAUUUCAUCCGAAAACCAUUUUGUCUGAAAAUUUGCAAUCAAUGUGUCGUAAUUCUCAGAUUUGAGAAGGGGACAAUUUCCCAAAACUUGUUUCAAAAUUCUGUUAGUCCUAAAAAAAAAUUACUAAAUUCAUGUUAUUUUAUGUGUUUAUUUAUA